GGGGAUGUAGCUCAGUGGAAGAGUACAUGCUUAGCAUGCAUGAGCCCCUGGGUUCAAUCCCUAGCACCA
rnacentral:tRNA from 1 species